AUGGUAGAUCCAUGCCUCGUUCCAACUCAUCUUUGGUCUCUUGUUUUUCUGGAUGCCUUCCAUACUGUGAUGCAUUUGAUGUCUAAAGAAGAGAGGGAAGUGAUACUGAAGAGAUUGGAUGCUCACUGCCAAGGUUGGAAAGCCGAUAUGCUCCUAAAUGAACUUUCAAAGUGCUAUGUUAUGUUUAUUGGCCCCGACGAAACCCUUACAACACGCGACGAAGAUAGCUCGAGAGCUUUCCUUGAGUGCAUUAGACAUGCUCUUGCACAUCCGUUGGAUUAUAUUGGCAGGUUGGAGAGGCUUGGCUUCGAAAUUCACAGCAAGCAGGAUCUGUACAAAGUUCUGAGGGAGAAAGGUGGUGACAGGCUGCUUUCUCUUCUGUUUGACCUUCUGCCAACAGAAUAUGUGGAGGAGUUAGCGCUGGAACGUUAUCUGUGCCGGGAACACUCCUCCUGUUGUCCAUUUCCCACAAACUGUAUAAGGCGUGUUUUGAGAAAACAUAGCCUUCGUCGUCGUCGUCUUGAUCCAGCCACCAUCAACAGAUUGAUUUGGUUGGAGAUGGGAAAUAAGAUGAACGAACAACUCUUCGUUCCAAGUGGAGUCCUCAAUACCUGGAAAGUCCUAUAUUCAGAACAUGGGCCAGCACUUGAGGAGUUUUGGGAGAUGUGUGAAUCAAUUGAAGGGCACUCAGUAUGGAAAUGUGAAGGAAAUGAUGACUUUGGUAAUUGCCAUGCCCAUGAGGUGGUGAACACGACCUGUGGCCUGAUGAUGCACAUGUACCCUUGUCGCAGUUAUUCUUCUGGCCGAAUGAUUGUCAUGGGUCGCAGAACAGGGCCGUACAAAGUCAAGGGGGUCUGGGUGUUUCCAGGGGUUGAAGUCCCACGCUUCUUGACGAAAAUCCAUGGCAUGGAGUUAUAUGGUUGGACCAAGGUGGACAUUUCCAUCGAGAGACAGAAGGCAAUGGUCAAUGACAUCCUGAGUGUAACAGUUGUUGAUCAAAAAUCCGAGGAUAGUGGCCAGGAGGAGGUGGUUUCAGCAAUUUGCUUUUGA
rnacentral:rRNA from 1 species